UGGCGUCGGACCAAGAAGCCCCGGACGCAGGCCUGGUAUGGAGAAUGAGAGGAAAGAAGUCUCUUAUCACGCACCUGGGGGGCCGCGGAACACCCGCCCGAGUCCGUAAAAUGUCACAGUUUGAAGAGAAUGAGAGGGGCAGUGUGGGCCUGCGUGGGACACCUACGCAGCAGACUGCUCCUCAGGCUCGGCGUUCUCGGCCAGGUGCAGCUUCUGGCUGUGCCCGUCAAGGAUCGUGGCGCUUUGGACCAGUCCUUCCUCCCACCCUGGUCUCCCAUCCUGCAAAGGCUUAGUUCCUUCACCUGUGCAAAGGUCCGAGGACGAGGGUCUCGGCCGUCUGUGGACUGAGGUUGCAGUCCCCGCCUGCCCUCUCUCACCCCCUCUCUUCAUCCAGAUCGUGCAGGUCAGACACCCAGGUGUGCGCGCAUGCACUCGCGCUCUGUUCUGACUGAGGACCAGGUGAGGUGGUAGUGUAAAUUAGUAAAAAUAAUUGUUAAAUGCUGAAAGGAUAGGAGGACAUCACAAGCUUUGCCAUGACUGAUAUCAGCUAAAGUACUCACAAAGAUUUUGAUCAGUAGUAAAACAUCCCCUGCAACCACUUUUCUUCUAAUUUUGAGGAAAUUCUAAAUUCCUGUA